GACGAACGCUGGCGGCGUGCCUAAUACAUGCAAGUAGAACGCUGAAGGAGGAGCUUGCUCUUCUGGAUGAGUUGCGAACGGGUGAGUAACGCGUAGGUAACCUGCCUGGUAGCGGGGGAUAACUAUUGGAAACGAUAGCUAAUACCGCAUAAGAGUAGAUGUUGCAUGACAUUUACUUAAAAGGUGCAAUUGCAUCACUACCAGAUGGACCUGCGUUGUAUUAGCUAGUUGGUGGGGUAACGGCUUACCAAGGCGACGAUACAUAGCCGACCUGAGAGGGUGAUCGGCCACACUGGGACUGAGACACGGCCCAGACUCCUACGGGAGGCAGCAGUAGGGAAUCUUCGGCAAUGGACGGAAGUCUGACCGAGCAACGCCGCGUGAGUGAAGAAGGUUUUCGGAUCGUAAAGCUCUGUUGUAAGAGAAGAACGAGGGUGAGAGUGGAAAGUUCACACUGUGACGGUAUCUUACCAGAAAGGGACGGCUAACUACGUG
rnacentral:rRNA from 1 species